rnacentral:rRNA from 1 species
CCUGGGGCUGAAGUAGGUCCCAAGGGUAUGGCUGUUCGCCAUUUAAAGUGGUACGCGAGCUGGGUUUAGAACGUCGUGAGACAGUUCGGUCCCUAUCUGCCGUGGGCGCUGGAGAACUGAGGGGGGCUGCUCCUAGUACGAGAGGACCGGAGUGGACGCAUCACUGGUGUUCGGGUUGUCAUGCCAAUGGCACUGCCCGGUAGCUAAAUGCGGAAGAGAUAAGUGCUGAAAGCAUCUAAGCACGAAACUUGCCCCGAGAUGAGUUCUCCCUGAGACUUAAAGUCUCCUGAAGGAACGUUGAAGACGACGACGUUGAUAGGCCGGGUGUGUAAGCGCAGCGAUGCGUUGAGCUAACCGGUACUAAUGAACCGUGAGGCUUAACCCUACAACGCCGAAG